rnacentral:tRNA from 1 species
AAGGUGCGUUUGAACAAAAGACCUGCUAAUUCCUACUACUGAAGUUAAAAUCUUCAGGCACCUUA